CGCACGGGUGAGUAACGCGUAUCCAACCUGCCGUCUACUCUUGGACAGCCUUCCGAAAGGAAGAUUAAUACAAGAUGGCAUCAUGAGUCCGCAUGUUCACAUGAUUAAAGGUAUUCCGGUAGACGAUGGGGAUGCGUUCCAUUAGAUAGUAGGCGGGGUAACGGCCCACCUAGUCUUCGAUGGAUAGGGGUUCUGAGAGGAAGGUCCCCCACAUUGGAACUGAGACACGGUCCAA
rnacentral:rRNA from 1 species